UCAGGUUUCGACAGGGAUAGAGAAGGCAGAGGCUGCAGGUCGAGGUUUGUCGAAGGCUCGUUAAUCAAUCGACAGCAAAAACUAAGUGCUGACGCUCAGUNNAACUAAGUGCUGACAAUCAGUUAGCAUUAGCCGCGUAAGCGGAUACGCUCACCUCGUUUUGCCCAUUGGAUGGGGAUGAGUGUCAGAGAGAUGGGAUAGUUCCGGCUUUUGCCUUGGGAGUCGGGAUGAGAUUCAAAGGCUGCUCCGUCUUGAAUCCUGUCUUUGGGUAAUAAGGCGGAGGAGAUUCUAAACAGAGACUAAACCUGUAGGUGUCCUGCUGGAAUAUUUCUGGACGCGGGUUCGAUCA
rnacentral:tmRNA from 1 species